GACGAACGCUGGCGGCGUGCCUAAUACAUGCAAGUCGAACGCUUCUUUUCUACCGAGUGCUUGCACUCAUUUGAAAAGAGGAGUGGCGGACGGGUGAGUAACACGUGGGUAACCUGCCCAUCAGAAGGGGAUAACACUUGGAAACAGGUGCUAAUACCGUAUAACAGUCGACACCGCAUGGUGUUGAUUUGAAAGACGCUUUCGGGUGUCACUGAUGGAUGGACCCGCGGUGCAUUAGCUAGUUGGUGAGGUAACGGCUCACCAAGGCGAUGAUGCAUGGCCGACCUGAGAGGGUGAUCGGCCACACUGGGACUGAGACACGGCCCAGACUCCUACGGGAGGCAGCAGUAGGGAAUCUUCGGCAAUGGACGAAAGUCUGACCGAGCAACGCCGCGUGAGUGAAGAAGGUUUUCGGAUCGUAAAACUCUGUUGUUAGAGAAGAACAAGUAGGAGAGUAACUGCUCUUACCUUGACGGUAUCUAACCAGAAAGCCACGGCUAACUACGUGCCAGCCGCCGCUGUAA
rnacentral:rRNA from 1 species